rnacentral:rRNA from 1 species
UCGCCCGGGAACUACGAGCUAAGCUUAAAACCCAAAGGACUUGACGGUACCCCACAUCCCCCUAGAGGAGCCUGUCCUAUAAUCGAUAACCCCCGCUUAACCUCACCAUUUUUUGCUAAUCAGCCUGUAUACCUCCGUCGUCAGCUUACCACGUGAGCGUCAGUGAGCUUAAUGUUUUUCCAACUAUACGUCAGGUCAAGGUGCAACAUAUAAAAUGGAAAGAGAUGGGCUACACUUUCUACCAUAGAAUAAACGAAAGACUAAAUGAAACCUAGUCAGAAGGCGGAUUUAGCAGUAAGGUGAAACUAGAGCGUUCACUUAAAUACGGCACUGGGGUGUGU